rnacentral:rRNA from 1 species
UACAGAGGGUGCGAGCGUUGUUCGGAAUUACUGGGCGUAAAGCGCGCGCAGGCGGCUUCCUAAGUCCGUCGGUGAAAGACCGGGGCUCAACCCCGUGUCAGCCAUGGAUACUGGGGGGCUGGAGACAGGUAGAGGCAAGCGGAAUUCCGGGUGUAGCGGUGGAAUGCGUAGAGAUCCGGAAGAACACCGGAGGCGAAGGCGGCUUGCUGGACCUGGUCUGACGCUGAGGCGCGAAAGCGUGGGGAGCGAACAGG